rnacentral:piRNA from 1 species
ACCAAUUGAGGACUUUAUGCAAGAG